UUGGAAUGGAACGAGAACUGGAAUGGACUCAGAUGUAAUGAGAGGAAUCUCGAAAUAAAAGUGGAUGAAAGAAAACAGAAACACCAUGAAAGCAAGGGAAAAGAAGAAAGCUUUCCGAUUGCUGUAAAAUUUCUUUUCAGGGUUUGGAAUGGAACGAGAACUGGAAUGGAAUCAGAUGUAAUGAGAGGAAUCUCGAAAUAGAAGUGGAUGA
rnacentral:lncRNA from 1 species